rnacentral:rRNA from 1 species
UGGGGAAUUUUGCGCAAUGGGCGAAAGCCUGACGCAGCAACGCCGCGUGAGUGAUGAAGGCCUUCGGGUCGUAAAGCUCUGUCAGAGGGAAAGAACUGUCUUGUGGCUAAUAUCCAUGAUGUUUGACGGUACCCUCAAAG